rnacentral:rRNA from 1 species
UGCGAAGGGGGCUAGCGUUGCUCGGAAUCACUGGGCGUAAAGGGUGCGUAGGCGGGUCUUUAAGUCAGGGGUGAAAUCCUGGAGCUCAACUCCAGAACUGCCUUUGAUACUGAAGAUCUUGAGUUCGGGAGAGGUGAGUGGAACUGCGAGUGUAGAGGUGAAAUUCGUGAGAUAUUCGCAAGAACACCGGUGGCGAAGGCGGCCCGCUGGGCAGGAACGGGGUGGGUAACCAUCCGGCUGACAGCUGAAGGCGCGGAC